AUGAAGGGGGGCCAUUACAAGAAGGAGAGCCAUGUGCUGCUCUACAGUCAGAGAGAUAGGGUGGGAUUUCACAGGCUAGCAGCACAUGCUCUCACCACGCUGAGAGCUGAAAGAUGUAUAGUACACGUGUGUGUUUGCAGUAGAAGGCCAUGGCGUCUUGGGACUGUCGCUUUUGAGGAAAAGGCAAGUGUUCAGGGGUGUCAAAGGACCAGAGCUGUGACUCUAAAGAAGAGACGGCGAGUGGGACAUACACAUCGGACUCUCUGACAAUGCCGGCUCAGGUUCCUGUGAGUUUGCCAUGGCGACCAGUGGGCCCUGACAGCAGCGGGGAUCACGGUCUUGCAGAGGAAGGGUGUGUAUGUGUGUGCGUGUAGCUGAGGGGGUGUGGGGUUAUUGGGGGACACACGCCAGAUGCCUUGGGGAGACGCCCUUCAGCUCACCAGCUGGGAGAGGCUAAACUGCCCCUCACGCGAUGGUUUUCGGCCUUAACGGAUUAGAGUGUUUACGGCACACUUUGGCUAUCAUACGCUCACCAACACAAAAACAAUAGUGAUAUAAAAUAGCGCUUUUCAGCUGGUUUUGUUUCAGGACACAUAUUUUACUGUAGACAUGAUGUGGUGACACAAAACUGUAGCAAAAUUGUUUUAUCGUAUUAAAAAUGUAAAAUGGUCUUAAAGUUACCAUUCGAAUCAAAAUGGUCAAUUCCUAUUUACGGAGCAUUGGAAUUUUAUUAUAGAUUAAAUUAGUUUCUCUUACAUUCUAAAUAGUAAAGAUUACAAUAGGGGUUUUCACAGUGAUGCCAUAGAAUAACUGUUUUGGUUUCAUUUUGAACCUAAAAAAAAAAAAAAAAACUUUUUGGUUCCCCAUAGAACCUUUUAGCAAAAUGUUCUUAAAAGAACCAUUUUUUUUUACUUGAACAUUUUACAAGUCCAAAGAUCCUAUUUCCACUCUAAAGAACUUUUUGUGUAAUGGAUACUUUUCAAGGACUAUUAAGGUUCCAUAGAUGCCAAUAAAACCAAAAACUAUUUUUUUUAUUUUUUUUUAUUUUUUACAAACUGUAAUUCACAUGAGAUUGAAAAACGACAAUGAUUGGUUCCCGAUGGACAGAAUCAUGUCCCGCCCAACAUUUUUGUUUCCCUCAUUCAAGAACCCAUUUCUUUUACAUAUGUGUCAAAAAAGAUUGACUUUUGUUUCAUGCUGACUUUUAAAAUCAAGCAUUGACAUUCAUCAAUAUUAGCCUAAACAAUAAUGAAAUAGACUGAACAAAGAAAAUUGUUGUUUGAUAUGUUUGAUGAAUUCGAUAGUUUCAUGCUUCCAACAUUUAAUAAUUCAUGCUAAUAAAACACGGCCAGUGCAAACCAUGUUCAUCCUGCAAACUAUAUUUAAUAUAGUCUAUUCGAUGCAUUUAUUUUACCUUGCAAAAUUUCGUUCAUGGUUCUCGAAGAUAAGAGCAUUUCAUGCAAAUUGUCCAUGUUAGCAUCCCUACCAAAAUACUGCUAAGUUUGAUUUUGAAGACAGCAUGAAACAAAAAUGUAUCUUUAAUCUUAUUGUGAAUGUAAACAAUUCACCAGUGCCUUUUUUGACUUAGUAAUUAGAAUGUCACAAUGUAACCAUGGUGACGUAUUCCAGACUUCUCCAAUCAUUCCGUCUACUUAAACUCGGUCCUUUUACAAAUCUUCUGCAAGCUCCAGUCCAAUCAGCAACUGAUGGAUAUAACCAAGUCUCCACCCUAUAUUUUCUGUUUUGAUAAUCCAUUACACUUGACUGUACAUCACAAUAUGGAAGAAAAGAUCUGUUUUGCAUGUUUGCAUUGUUUUGAUUCUGCCACAUUUGAUAAUGAAUUGACCUGCGACCUACUUUUGGCUCACAAUCCACCAUUUGAGAACCACUGAUAAUGCUCAGUUUAAACCCAACCUCUUUGUUAUUGACUAGCAUCACAACAAAGACGCAAUGGACUGACUGCGUAAUCUCUGCAGGCAACUGUGAUGUGAUUUCAGUCUCACAUUGACCUGUAGGGGUUGAGUAGUCUGUUCACACUCAAACCCUAAGAGAAAACUACAUCAGCUGCACCUGAAUCUGCCUUUUACAUCAAAACUACAUCUAUGCUAAUCUCAAUGCUAACAUGCUAAUCUGUUGCAAAAACCGCUUCAAUUUACACUAAAAUGAUUAAACAUGCAUCUUAUACUGUACAGAGGAUCUAAAGAAGUUCGUAAAUGUAUUACCAUCUCUGGGACGCGAACAUCUGCGUGCGCCCUGCUGGAGGACUCAGGUACUGGCGGCUGAGUUUUGGCAUAAUCUCAGCUGGCAACUGUGAGUAGUGUGUCACCCCUCUCACAGGCGCUGCUGGGGUUCUGUCACACACAGCACUCGCACACCAGGACGAAAUAACAUUGGUCUCCAUCGGACAGAAGAGAGCAACCUGUGGAAAAGAAGUCAACGUAUAAUAGAAUUACACUGAAAUGUGUGGCCAGGCUGAAAUUUAAAUGUUUUAAGUGUUUGAUCUUGCUGAUGUUGGUGAUACUGCAUCAGGAACUGAUUGGAUGAUAUCUAGGAGCCAUCAGUUCUUGAUGCACUCCCUUCAGCAUCGAAAGAGGCACCCGCGAGUCUUUUAACUUUUACAGCCCAGUACAUGGGUCAGUGAACGGUAUUAAAGUGUAACUGAAAUGGUACUGUAAUUGUUUUGAACAGUUUAUAGUCUUUUAACUUUUACAGCCCAGUACAUGGGUCAGUGAACGGUAUUAAAGUGUAACUGAAAUGGUACUGUAAUUGUUUUGAACAGUUUAUAUAGAUAUUAAAGAUGCUGAAUGUAAUCACCUAUCUGCUAGCAGCAACAAACAGAAUUUAUAGGCCUUAUCUGUUUGUUUGAGAGGCCGGAUAUAGUAAUGUUGCUGUAUUAUUGCUGUGGUUACUUGUCUUACUUGUAGAGUUAAACACAUCAUAUGACAUUGUUUUGUGCUUUACUUUUUCAUAAUUAGUUUUCCACUGUUUUCAAUAAAGUUAUAGUUUACAUUUUUUCUGAAUAUAAAUGAUCUCUGCUCAUCAUAUCACACCAGACCUUUAACUUUAACCAAGAGACAUAAAGUCAAACCAAAAAUUAUUCAAACACCAGAUAUAAAUUUUGAUAUAUUUUUUACUGGUGGGUGCAGGACAGUAUUGUUUAUUAUAAGUGAGGAUAGCAAAAUAAAGUAAACUGUGACCUAUUAAACCCAAAAAAGUCUUCAUACAGUGAACUUCCAGUAAAAUUUGGGACCAAAAAUUAUUCUGACACUUUGACCUGAUCAUGUUUUUCUUAAGUGUUUUUCCUUUAUUCACUAAUGCAACCUUUUUACACCAAAGACGAAACAAAAUUAAGCAUUGCUUGUUAAUUGGUUGACCUAAAGUGGUAUUAUAAUUGUGUGCUUAAAUUUAACAGCUGACAGUUUUUGACCAAAUUCAUUACAUACCUUUCUACAAAAGGUAUCUGACAUUAUCAAGAUUUUUGUUCUGACAGUUUAACUCUGAGUUCUUGUCAUAUUUUAUUACCAUUUUCUAAACUAUAACGAAUAAACUGUAAUAAUGUGAGAAAUGUUGAGGGUGUCUGAAUAAAUUAUGGUUUGACUGUACCAUUGUUCUUAUUUUUAUACAUACAAUAUCCCCAUAAAGUAUUCUAACGCUUACAGUUAGCCACACUGAAAAUGUCUGAAUCUCACUGCAUUAGAGGAUAAAAUAUCUAUAAAUAUUAGUUAGUUAGUUUUUUUUUAUUGCCACUUGCCAUGCCAUUUGGUUCGACAUUUUACAUUUUCAGAGAGGCCUCGAUAUUAUAGGGUCAGUCACAGUUUUUGCCUGAGAAAUGUUACAGCGCCCUCUGCCUGUUAACAUCAUUCAUUGAAACAGUCUGAGAUGUAGAGUAAACAUUAAAAUUAUGAAUUUUUAUAUAGUUGAGCCUGGUUGGUAUAUGUAACACAUAGAAAAUACAUUUUAUAUUAACGAGACAAAUGGCAAAAAGAUGCACUGCAUCUGUCAUGAGUUUAAUAACUUUAAUGAGCGCUACAAGUAGCCUGUGCUGCUGUUUAUUACCCUUGUGACCACCAAAUGCCAUUACCACUGAUCAGCACAUGUAGUAACUCCGCUUCACUCUGCUUGAGCUCGCUCUUAAAAUUGUAUGCAGUUUGAGGGUGUCGAGAUUGUAGCACUGUCCUUCAAACAACAUCAGUUGAUCAAUUUAAGAGUUAAAAACACCGGCAGCUCAUAUGAGCUCGAAGGCAGGCAGAAUUAAACGCACCAAAAAUGUGCGUAAUUUGGAUUCGCAUGAUGCACCUUCACUUGCGCAAUCAAUAAUCGAUGAGCAGCCAAAUAUUAUACCUGCCGGGCGACAGUUAGACAGGACACCUCCAUCUAAAAUGGAAGGAGUAACAACAAGCCCCCCCCAGCAAACCAGAUGG
rnacentral:lncRNA from 1 species